GAGGAUAUAGCUCAGUGGUAGAGCACACGUUUAGUAAGCAGGAGGUCCUGGGUUCAAUCCUCAGUACCUCCA
rnacentral:tRNA from 1 species